UUUGAUAGUUUGAUUCUAAUACAUUCUAAUUGAUUGAUAUAGACACUUUUAAAUGACUCACAAUAUUAAUUCUUACCUCAUUAAGAAUUUUAUUUUAUUUAUGAGUGCAUAACAGUGAGGUUUGUUUAAUUUUUCAAUUCUUGAGUGUUAUGUUCUUUUCAGACUUUCAUAAUGAUUUACGAUACUAUGAUCGGAAAGUUGCAAAGGGAUCAAGAGGUUCAAAUUGCUUAAGAUCAGCAAUUGGACACUAUUCUAGACACAAUCAGCAAAAAUUUAGAACGUUUAACUACCAA
rnacentral:lncRNA from 1 species